UGGUACAAACUAACAGUUUUCAAUUGAUUUUUUUAUAAGCUGAUUCGUGGACAUGGCUUGGAAGGUCAUACACAGAUCCUUUUGUGUAGCUAGCAGCAGUGCUUGUUGAAGAUGUUGCCAUCACCAGCUGGAAACAACUGCCAGUACCACUCUUGUUGGAAGGGGAGUGCAGGAAUCAUGCAUCUUACUGGGAUCUUUACAAGACAUUCUAGAAUGGAAAGGCAAGAAACAGAAGCAAAAGAGUCUGCACUGCUGGCAAAGAUGACCGUUUUUAUACUCUGUACCUUCCAGGUGCCCCAAAUACUGUCUGAGAAGAGCAGCACAUGCAGUGACCGGACAAGU